GAUGAACGCUGGCGGCGUGCCUAAUACAUGCAAGUCGAGCGAACGGACGAGAAGCUUGCUUCUCUGAUGUUAGCGGCGGACGGGUGAGUCACACGUGUAUACCCUCCCUAUCAGACUGGGAUAACUUCGGGAAACCGGAGCUAAUACCGGAUAAUAUUUUGAACCGCGUGGUUCAAAAGUGACAGACGGUCUUGCUGUCACUUAUAGAUGGAUCCGCGCUGCAUUAGCUAGUUGGUAAGGUAACGGCUUACCAAGGAAACGAUGCAUAGCCGACGUGAGAGGGGGAUCGGCAGCAGUGGAAGUGAGACGCGGUCCAGAGGCCGAGGGGAGGUCCCAGCAGGGAAUGUUAGGAAAUGGGGGGAAGCUUGACGGAGCGGCGCCGGGCGGGUGAGGCAGCGCCUCGGAGCGGAAAACUGUGUUAGGGGGGAAAAACCGAUGUGUCAGUAACUGUGCAGAUAGUGACGGUACCUAAUCAGAAAGCACCGGCUAACUACGUG
rnacentral:rRNA from 1 species